GGUCAAGCGAAUAAGUGCAUGUGGUGGAUGC
rnacentral:rRNA from 1 species